rnacentral:rRNA from 1 species
UACGUAGGGACCAAGCGUUGUUCGGAUUUACUGGGCGUAAAGGGCGCGUAGGCGGCAUGACAAGUCACUUGUGAAAUCUCCGGGCUUAACUCGGAACGGUCAAGUGAUACUGUCGCGCUAGAGUGCGGAAGGGGCAAUCAGAAUUCUUGGUGUAGCGGUGAAAUGCGUAGAUAUCAGGAGGAACACCGGUGGCGAAGGCGGGUCUCUGGGCCGAAACUGACGCUGAGGAGCGAAAGCGUGGGGAGCAAACAGG